UGCUUGAAGAAGCCAGGGCUAAAACUGGUGGAUUGUGACAAAUGACAGAUUUGUCGAUUUUGGACCAGAGUGGAAGGAGACUAAAAAAGGAUGCAUUCCCUUUGAGUUUAAUGGAAAUCACUUCAUACCGUUUCCAAUUUCAUCUGAGGCUGUUAGGACGAGUAGUGUACAACCAGCAGCCAUGAGUGUGAACGGUGCCAACGAUGAAGAUUUGGGUCCAACCAGUGAAGCACCAGAUGACAACACCCACAUCUAGGCUUCUUUUUUUAAAUAAAAAUGUUAACUA